UACGUAGGGGGCAAGCGUUGUCCGGAUUUACUGGGUGUAAAGGGCGCGCAGGCGGAUUAACAAGUCAGAGGUGAAAUACUACAGCUUAACUGUAGAACUGCCUUUGAAACUGUCAAUCUUGAGUACGGAAGAGAGAAGCGGAAUUCCAGGUGUAGUGGUGAAAUACGUAGAUAUCUGGAAGAACACCAGUUGCGAAGGCGGCUUCUUGGUCCGUUACUGACGCUGAGGCGCGAAAGCGUGGGGAGCAAACAGG
rnacentral:rRNA from 1 species